UGGGAAUAUUGCACAAUGGAGGAAACUCUGAUGCAGCGACGCCGCGUGAGUGAAGAAGUAAUUCGUUAUGUAAAGCUCUAUCAGCAGGGAAGAUAGUGACGGUACCUGAUGAAUAAGCUCCGGCUAACUACGUGCCAGCAGCCGCGGUAAUACGUAGGGAGCAAGCGUUAUCCGGAUUUACUGGGUGUAAAGGGCGUGUAGGCGGGACUGCAAGUCAGAUGUGAAAACUAUGGGCUUAACCCAUAGCCUGCAUUUGAAACUGUAGUUCUUGAGUGGUGGAGAGGCAAAUGGAAUUCCUAGUGUAGCGGUGAAAUGCGUAGAUAUUAGGAAGAACACCAGUGGCGAAGGCGAUUUGCUGGACACUAACUGACGCUGAGGCGCGAAAGCGUGGGGAGCAAACAGGAUUAGAUACCCUGGUAGU
rnacentral:rRNA from 1 species